UACGGAAGGCAGCAGUAGGGAAUAUUGGGCAAUGGGCGAGAGCCUGACCCAGCCAUGCCGCGUGGAGGAUGAAGGCGCUCAGCGUUGUAAACUUCUUUUAGCUGGGAAGAACGGCAGUCCUGCGGGAUUGUGUGACGGUACCAGCGGAAUAAGCACCGGCUAACUCCGUGCCAGCAGCCGCGGUAAUACGGAGGGUGCGAGCGUUGUCCGGAUUUAUUGGGUUUAAAGGGUGCGUAGGUGGCCUGUUAAGUCUGGUUUGAAAGCAGGCGGCUUAACCGUCUGAUGUGGCUGGAAACUGGGAGGCUUGAAUGCGGGAGCGGCUGCCGGAACGGGUCAUGUAGCGGUGAAAUGCAUAGAUAUGACCCAGACACCGAUUGCGAAGGCAGGGCAGCCAGGCCGUGAUUUGACACUGAGGCACGAGAGCAUGGGGAGGCCAAC
rnacentral:rRNA from 1 species